CUCUUCUAAUAAUCGGGCUUGUUCCUUUGUUUCUAGAAAUUGAGAAAGAUCUCAGAGAGAGUUGGAAGAGGAGGACGAGGAAGGACUGCGAGAUACCCAGAAAGACGCAUAUCAGAAAGAAUGGCUUCAAGACCCGUGGUUCAACAGCAAAAUAGAGGAGAUUUGCAGUUGAGGGAAUAAAGCAAAAGAACAUGGCGGCAGAGGGAAUGAACCGCCGGAUACUUGGGGAUAUUGGCAAUAUGGUUACCGUUUGAGGGGUUGAAGGCAAGCAGCAGCUUCCUCAGGUGACUCGCCCCCUCACAAGGGGUUUUUGUGCACAUCUACUGGCUAAUGCGCAAGCUGCAGUUGCUGACAAGAACAAGGUUGGUGGCUAUAAUUUCUCUAUUCAAUAGUGUUAAAUGAUGCUUAGGACCCAUUAUUAAUUAUUGUAUGCCAUGCCCCCCACCCC